AGUGAACGCUGGCGGUAGGCCUAACACAUGCAAGUCGAACGGCAGCACAGUAAGAGCUUGCUCUUACGGGUGGCGAGUGGCGGACGGGUGAGGAAUACAUCGGAAUCUACUUUUUCGUGGGGGAUAACGUAGGGAAACUUACGCUAAUACCGCAUACGAUCUACGGGUGAAAGCAAGGGAGCUUCGCACCUUUCGCGAUACAAUGAGCCGGUGUCGGAUUAGCUAGUUGGCUGGGUAAAGGCCCACCAAGGCGACGAUACGUAGCUGGUCUGAGAGGAUGAUCAGCCACACUGGAACUGAGACACGGUCCAGACUCCUACGGGAGGCAGCAGUGGGGAAUAUUGGACAAUGGGCGAAAGCCUGAUCCAGCCAUACCGCGUGGGUGAAGAAGGCCUUCGGGUUGUAAAGCCCUUUUGUUGGGGAAGAAAAGCAGCAGGUUAAUACCCCGCUGUUCUGACGGUACCCAAAGAAUAAGCACCGGCUAACUUCGUG
rnacentral:rRNA from 1 species